UACGAAGGGGGCUAGCGUUGUUCGGAAUCACUGGGCGUAAAGGGCGCGUAGGCGGCUUUAUAAGUCGGGGGUGAAAGCCUGUGGCUCAACCACAGAAUUGCCUUCGAUACUGUAGAGCUUGAGACCGGAAGAGGUAAGUGGAACUGCGAGUGUAGAGGUGAAAAUUCGUAGAUAUUCGCAAGAACACCAGUGGCGAAGGCGGCUUACUGGUCCGGUUCUGAC
rnacentral:rRNA from 1 species